GGGCUUCGUAUUAUAUAGGCGUCAUCGGGCCUCAUCGCAAACCCCACGGCCUCGGCAUUUCGUCGUUUGACUCCCGUUGCUGCUCCCGGGUCCUCCGCUCUCUUUGUGGCGAGAGAGAUCGUAGGAUUCCCCCAGAGGCUCGAAUCGUGAGGCACGCCUGGCUUCUCGACGUUUAGGGUUUUCUCGGCCCUCUUCCCCUUUUGUCUCAGUUUUUCGAAGUCGACGGCUCGCCGAGUCCGAGCUUAAAGAGUGCACUUUGAUUCCCAAUAUAGCGAUUCCAGUGACUUCUUAACCACCACGAGAAACCGACCAUGAAGAAAGGAGUUGGAUCUGACCUCUUUGUAAACGAUGGUUCUUUUAUGGAAAAGUUUAAGCAACUCCAGCAAAAAACAGGAGAAGGCGGCCAUUGAGGAGCUAAAUCUAGUGCUCGCUGGCUUUCUAUUGUUGUGAAGCCAGCAUUCUAGUGAACAAAGGCCAUUGGAUAUGAAGGCGAAGCCUAACCUCCUGCAUCUGGUGGAAAGCUUGCCUUCAGCUU